rnacentral:rRNA from 1 species
UAGGGAAUUUUCGUCAAUGGGCGCAAGCCUGAACGAGCAAUGCCGCGUGAGUGAGGAAGGCCUUCGGGUCGUAAAGCUCUGUUGCGAGGGGAAAAGGAACGGAAGAGGAAAU